rnacentral:lncRNA from 1 species
UUCUCACUCCAACCUACCUGCCUGAGAAGAAGAUGGAAGGCGGCCGCUCACGGUGGCGCCGCCCCUCUACUUCGACGAACAAAACCAAAAUUCCAUCUUCUCCAUUAAAACACUCUCCUAAGUAUGAAUCCAGACUCAGAUCCCUCAUUACUUCAUCUCAAAUGCACGAAUCGGGGUCCCUAAACCGAACCCUAGAAUCGAAUAAUAAUAUCAGCCAAGCUAGCUCAGAGCGAUUAGGCCAAGGAUUCAGCAUAAAUCGACAAGGCGUGAGCGGUCUAAGAGGCGUAUCGAUCAAAACCCUAAAGUAAAACCCUAAAUUAGGUGGUGAUGGAGCGUUAUUUCAAACCCGGACGUUAGGGGUUUCAAUCAGCGUAAACAGGAGAAUACAAAAGUGCACUGGAUUAGUCAAGGCGUGAAGAAAUCUACCUGACCGGAGUUCGUUCGGUGACGUGCUUUUCGGCGACCAAAGAUAAGUUUACCUUCCCUCUCGUUUCUGCUUUGUUUCUCUUCGUUACUAGCUUCGCCUCAUCCACUUCUUU